rnacentral:rRNA from 1 species
GACGAACGCUGGCGGCGUGCCUAAUACAUGCAAGUAGGACGCAGUUGCGAACGGGUGAGUAACGCGUAGGUAACUACCUAUUAGAGGGGGCUAACUAUUGGAAACGAUAGCUAAUACCGCAUACUAGUAGAUGGACCUGCGUUGUAUUAGCUAGUAGGUAGGGUAAUGGCCUACCUAGGCAACGAUACAUAGCCGAACUGGAGAGGGGAACGGCCAAACAGGGACCGGGGCAAGGGCCAGGAGCCCACGGGGGGCAGCAGUAGGGGAACAUCGGCAAUGGGGGGAAACCUGACCGAGCAACGCCGGGGGAGUGAAGAAGGUUUUCGGGUCGUAAAGCUCUGUUGAUAAGGGAGCGGUACUUAACCAGAAAGGGACGGCUAACUACGUGCCAGCAGCCGCGGUAAUAC